UCUGAUGGAGCACGCCGCGUGAGUGAAGAAGGGUUUCGGCUCGUAAAACUCUGUUGUUAAAGAAGAACAUAUCUGAGAGUAACUGUUCAGGUAUUGACGGUAUUUAACCAGAAAGCCACGGCUAACUACGUGCCAGCAGCCGCGGUAAUACGUAGGUGGCAAGCGUUGUCCGGAUUUAUUGGGCGUAAAGCGAGCGCAGGCGGUUUUUUAAGUCUGAUGUGAAAGCCUUCGGCUCAACCGAAGAAGUGCAUCGGAAACUGGGAAACUUGAGUGCAGAAGAGGACAGUGGAACUCCAUGUGUAGCGGUGAAAUGCGUAGAUAUAUGGAAGAACACCAGUGGCGAAGGCGGCUGUCUGGUCUGUAACUGACGCUGAGGCUCGAAAGUAUGGGUAGCAAACAGGAUUAGAUACCCUGGUAGUCCAUACCGUAAACGAUGAAUGCUAAGUGUUGGAGGGUUUCCGCCCUUCAGUGCUGCAGCUAACGCAUUAAGCAUUCCGCCUGGGGAGUACGGCCGCAAGGCUGAAACUCAAAGGAAUUGACGGGGGCCCGCACAAGCGGUGGAGCAUGUGGUUUAAUUCGAAGCUACGCGAAGAACCUUACCAGGUCUUGACAUACUAUGCAAAUCUAAGAGAUUAGACGUUCCCUUCGGGGACAUGGAUACAGGUGGUGCAUGGUUGUCGUCAGCUCGUGUCGUGAGAUGUUGGGUUAAGUCCCGCAACGAGCGCAACCCUUAUUAUCAGUUGCCAGCAUUAAGUUGGGCACUCUGGUGAGACUGCCGGUGACAAACCGGAGGAAGGUGGGGAUGACGUCAAAUCAUCAUGCCCCUUAUGACCUGGGCUACACACGUGCUACAAUGGAUGGUACAACGAGUUGCGAACUCGCGAGAGUAAGCUAAUCUCUUAAAGCCAUUCUCAGUUCGGAUUGUAGGCUGCAACUCGCCUACAUGAAGUCGGAAUCGCUAGUAAUCGCGGAU
rnacentral:rRNA from 1 species